rnacentral:rRNA from 1 species
AUUGAACGCUAGCGGGAUGCUUUACACAUGCAAGUCGAACGGCAGCGCGGACUUCGGUCUGGCGGCGAGUGGCGAACGGGUGAGUAAUGUAUCGGAACGUGCCCAGUAGCGGGGGAUAACUACGCGAAAGCGUAGCUAAUACCGCAUACGCCCUACGGGGGAAAGCAGGGGAUCGUAAGACCUUGCACUAUUGGAGCGGCCGAUAUCGGAUUAGCUAGUUGGUGGGGUAACGGCUCACCAAGGCGACGAUCCGUAGCUGGUUUGAGAGGACGACCAGCCACAAUGGGAAUGAGACACGGCCCAAACUCCUACGGGGGGCACCAGUGGGGAAUUUUGGACAAUGGGGGCAACCUUGAUCCAGCCAUCCCGCGUGUGCGAUGAAGGCUUUCGGGUUGUAAAGCAAUUUUGGCGGGAAAGAAACGUCGCGGGCUAAUACCCCGUGGAACUGACGGUACCUGCAGAAUAAGCACCGGCUAACUACGUG